CGGAGGAUCCAAGCGUUAUCCGGAAUCAUUGGGUUUAAAGGGUCCGUAGGCGGUCCUGUAAGUCAGUGGUGAAAGCCCAUCGCUCAACGGUGGAACGGCCAUUGAUACUGCAGGACUUGAAUUACUGGGAAGCAACUAGAAUAUGUAGUGUAGCGGUGAAAUGCUUAGAGAUUACAUGGAAUACCAGUUGCGAAGGCAGGUUGCUACCGGUGGAUUGACGCUGAUGGACGAAAGCGUGGGUAGCGAACAGGAUUAGAUACCCUGGUAGUCCGCGCCGUAAACGAUGGAUACUAGCUGUUGGGAGCGAUCUCAGUGGCUAAGCGAAAGUGAUAAGUAUCCCACCUGGGGAGUACGAACGCAAGUUUG
rnacentral:rRNA from 1 species